UGGGGAAUUUUGGACAAUGGGCGAAAGCCUGAUCCAGCAAUGCCGCGUGUGUGAAGAAGGCCUUCGGGUUGUAAAGCACUUUUGUCCGGAAAGAAAUCCUUGGCUCUAAUACAGUCGGGGGAUGACGGUACCGGAAGAAUGAGCACCGGCUAACUACGUGCCAGCAGCCGCGGUAAUACGUAGGGUGCAAGCGUUAAUCGGAAUUACUGGGCGUAAAGCGUGCGCAGGCGGUUUGCUAAGACCGAUGUGAAAUCCCCGGGCUCAACCUGGGAACUGCAUUGGUGACUGGCAGGCUAGAGUAUGGCAGAGGGGGGUAGAAUUCCACGUGUAGCAGUGAAAUGCGUAGAGAUGUGGAGGAAUACCGAUGGCGAAGGCAGCCCCCUGGGCCAAUACUGACGCUCAUGCACGAAAGCGUGGGGAGCAAACAGGAUUAGAUACCCUGGUAGUCCACGCCCUAAACGAUGUCAACUAGUUGUUGGGGACUUCAUUUCUUUAGUAACGUAGCUAACGCGUGAAGUUGACC
rnacentral:rRNA from 1 species